AGCCACGCAGUGAGCACAGAGCGAACUAUUCUUUCGCCUUUUACUAAAGAUUACCGUGUGCUCGCUGCUCAUAGUGGCAUACACCAAUUUUUAGAGGGGCUGAUUUCAAUAUAUUUCU